UGGGGAAUAUUGGACAAUGGGCGAAAGCCUGAUCCAGCCAUGCCGCGUGUGUGAAGAAGGUCUUCGGAUUGUAAAGCACUUUAAGUUGGGAGGAAGGGCAGUAAGCGAAUACCUUGCUGUUUUGACGUUACCGACAGAAUAAGCACCGGCUAACUCUGUGCCAGCAGCCGCGGUAAUACAGAGGGUGCAAGCGUUAAUCGGAAUUACUGGGCGUAAAGCGCGCGUAGGUGGUUCGUUAAGUUGAAUGUGAAAGCCCCGGGCUCAAGCUGGGAACUGCAUCCAAAACUGGCGAGCUAGAGUAGGGCAGAGGGUGGUGGAAUUUCCUGUGUAGCGGUGCAAUGCGUAGAUAUAGGAAGGAACACCAGUGGCGAAGGCGACCACCUGGGCUCAUACUGAAACUGAGGUGCGAAAGCGUGGGGAGCAAACAGG
rnacentral:rRNA from 1 species